UUCGGACUGCAGGCUGCAACCCGCCUGCACGAAGCCGGAGUUGCUAGUAAUCGCGAAUCAGAAUGUCGCGGUGAAUGCGUUCCCGGGUCUUGUACACACCGCCCGUCACACCAUGGAAGUUGGGGGGUGCCCAAAGCCGGCAAGCAAAUAUGCUGUCUAAGGCAAAAACCAAUGACUGGGGGUGAAGUCGUAACAAGGUAAC
rnacentral:rRNA from 1 species